rnacentral:rRNA from 1 species
GGUUUGACGAGAGCUAUGCUGUCUCUUUCGAAAUAUUUAAAAAUUAACUUUUAGGUAAAGAGGCCUAAAUUCGUUUAAGGGACAAGAAGACCCUGUUGAGCUUUAGUGAUCCUAUAAAUUAAUGGGCAAUUUAUUGGUUGUUGUGUAUUUGUGUAUUAUAUAUAACGUAAGUUUAAAGGUAAUCUUUAGUUGGGGCGACUGAGGAACAUGGAAAGCUUCCUUGAAUUUAAAAGCAUGUUGGGCAAUUAAUUUGUUGAUGCAUCUGCGUUAAUUUUGAUCCAAUUUAUUUUGAUUAAGAGAAAAAGUUACCACAGGGAUAACAGCGUAAUCUUUCUGGAGAGAUCUAAUCNAAAGAAGGGUUUGCGACCUCGAUGUUGGACUAAGAUAUCCUGAGGGUGCAGAAGUUCUCAAAGGUUGGUCUGUUCGACCAUUAAAAUCUU